CCAACAACCAACUUAAUAGACAUUAACCUAUCAUUCAGUCGCCUAACCUCGACCACGGACUCCCUUAGAUCCCUAUCCACCAAGAUGCCCACUCCAUUCUUACCUCUCACGACCCCAGAGUACCACAGCUUAAACCCGUCUACGUUCCUCGCCUUCGACCCUUUCCACCUAGUCUCCUGGACACAGGCUAUGUUAACCCUCCUUUGAAGAACCUUCACCAACUCAAUGGACUUACCCGUCAGAGUGCCUAUGUUCCACGACCCAAUCCUUAAUCUAUGAGCGUCCGCUACCCUCUUCCCACCCUCACCUCCCGCCCUACCCGUCGUCUACGUUCCUCGCCUUCGAUCCUUUCCACCUAGUCUCCUGAACACAGGCUAUGUUAACCCUCCUCUUCUGGAGAACCUUCGCCAACUCAAUGGACUUA
rnacentral:lncRNA from 1 species